CCAGCAUCUCCCACCUCGGGAUCCCUCCAGAUCCACCCUCUCUCCUUCCCUCGUUUUCCCCACUGGAUCAAUCCAUCUCCCACCUCGACUCCGAGUGCCCCUGCAGCCUCCCGCGUCUGAUCUAGGGAGAGCAGCACCCUCCCGAGCUCCUCCAUGCCGUGCCCCUUCUCCAAGUCCUGCGCCUCUCCUCUAGCUCCCUGCCGUCGUCCCCGGCGAGCAGUUCUGCUAGCAGCCACCAGCAGGACAGCCACGCUCGCGCCUCUCCUUCCUUUCCCUUUCUUCUCCUGUUGCCUUUCCCUCUCAUGCUCUCUCUCCCAGGUACGCCCGUGCAGGAGCCGCAAGGAGGAAGCCGCCAUCACCAAGCUCUUGCCGUGCGCGCCUGGAUCCGCCAUCCCCGGCUCCUCCGCGCUCGAUUCCCGUCGCUGCGCCAAGUCCCUCGUCCCGCUCGUCUCCGACACCAGCGCCGUCCGCCCCGGCAACCUCGACGUCGAGCUCCAGUAGGAACUGCUUCGCGCGCCCCUGUCCCCGCAAGCGUUUGAGGCUGCGCCCAACUCCUCGUCCAGCCCCUCCCCGUCACCUGCAUCUCCUCCGGCAGCGCCGCCGUGCCCGCACGCCUAUGGUGAAGCUUCGGGAGCUCCGACGCCCUGGAGACCGAUGCCCCCGCCGGACCUCCUUCCUCCGCAUCCGGCCACGCCGGCGGCAAGCCCUGCCUCCGCCGCCUCGCCAAGUUUCGCCGCCUGAACCUCCCUGCAUCGCCAUGGCCGCCGGCCUCUGUUUUCCCCGCUCUUUGGUUUCUUUCCGGAGUUGUGAGGAUUCGUUCGACUCCGUCCGUUUGUCUUCUUCAUGGACUCGUUCUUCUUCCUAGCGGGAUCGCAGGCAAGAUGACCAUACCC